GACACGACGCCCCCGCGCCCGCCCCGCCCGCCGACCCCGAGCCCCGGCCCGCGGCAGGCCAGCUCCGCGGUCUCUCCCGGCCGGCGGCGGCGGCAGCCCCGGUGGGGCGGGAGGGAGAGAGGGCCGAGGCUGCGGGCCCCGAAGGGCCGCCCGGGCCUUCGGCGGCCCCGCAGCUAAAAUGGCCUCCCGCGGCCUCGGAGCCGAGCCGCCUCCCCCGCCCGGCGGGCAGCGGGAGGGAGCCGAGACCGCGGCCCCCCAGUCCCCGCCCCCGCCGGGCCGGUCCCCACCUCCGGGCCCCCACCCGCUGGGGGACGGAGAGGGUGGGCGAGGGAGCCUCGGGAAGAGUGCGAGUCGCACCGCCCGCCGGCCGCCUCCGCGCCGCCUCCCGCGCACCGGUCCUUGCCCGGUGCACGGGCCCCCGAGCCCAGAUAACGUGUUGUUUUCUCGGGUACUUUCUCCUCCGUUCCGUGGCGUCCCUCGCUAACAAACUGCGGGUGUCACCUCAUUCAUUUGGUUCCUUUAGUUUUCCCUCCAAGGAGAGAGGUAAACGUACCAACCACCUGUGAAUUGGGUGGUUGGUAGACUGGAAAAGAUGUGUGAAGUUUCUAGUGCUGAUAAAUGAGUCCACAGCCUUGUUCUAGGUAUUGCGUUUAGGCUCCAGGUGGGCCAAUAAUUCCCCUUGACGCGUCUUUCCCCUCUGGGGAAAAGAAAAGUGCAAGGGAGGUGCUGAGUUAGUGAGAUGCAUCAUCUGAAAUCUCUACCUUAAGGGAAGCUUUAAUUUCUGAAGUGUCUAUUUCGCUGUAUAUCUUAACAAGAGUAAGAAAAACACUAGAUUGUGUUGUUAUUGUUACUUUUGAGUCAGUCUGGGACAGUCUCUUUAGACUCAGGCCUUAAGCGUACUGUGAUCAGUUUUUUAUAUCGAGAGAUUAUUAUAUUAGAUAUCUGUGUGUACCAGGUAAAUUAGCUAUUGGUCAAACCCAGAUAGUUUUAUCUCCUUCACUUGGGGUGGCAAGCUAUCCAAUGGAAAUGGUUAUCAUUGGGAACCUGAAGACCUGGGUUCCAGUCUUUCUCCUCCUGAUUUUAUGAUUUUGAGGACAUCUCUUAUUUGGACUUUCAUUUUUCUCAUCUGUAAAUUGGGCUGUUUUGGGGGGCUAAAACUUGUAAUUCUGAGGAGUAGAGUUGCCAUAUUUCAUGGAAUUUAUAAGAUGCCAUUUAUUGUAAGGGAGGGGUAUCAUUAUUUUACGUGUUCCUAAAAAACACUACCGAUUAAAAUAUGACUCUGCUUAAGACCCCAUUGAUUUUUAAGAGAUGAUAAAAUAUAUAAAUAUGUAUUUUAUUGAUGAAUUUGGUAUUUUACUAAUUGUUGAAUGCCUUGAACACAUGUGGCAUUUUUUACAAGUCUCUUUUACCUUGAAGUUUAUUUUCGGAAAACGGACUGAGAUGACAAAUUAUUGGGGCAAAAUUUUGGGGCUUUUCAGACAUGAAAAAAUCCUUUGCUUACAAGUUGUGAUAAUUAAACAUCUAACACAGUCUCAGCUACUUUGAUAAAAAGCUGAUAAUUUUUGUGGAGAGAGAGGAAAAAAGCCAUUUUCUGGGAAACAAGAGCUAGCUAAUCAGCAUCUGUACCAUAAAUCUAUGGCUACUAAGUAUUGUGUGUUCUAGACGAGGCUGUAUUUAACCACUUACAUUUUAAUUGUUUUACACAGUAUUUUUCUGUUACUAUGGGCAGAGUGAUAGAUUUGUUUGAUUACUGUUUACUGAAAAUGCAACAGGAUUGUUCUUUGUGGCAGUUCUGAAAUAUUUUUUCUAAUGUAGUCCUAUAGAUAGAAAUGAGGGGGAGGAAAUGCCAAUUUAAAGAUAAUCAUUUUUUGAUAAAAUAUUUGCAUGUAUGUAUUUUAUCCUAAUAUAAGAAGCUAUUGCAGAUUUUCUGUGCCUAGUUUCUCCUUAGCUUUGAAUCGCAAAGUUUCAGUAAACUGUAAUGGCAAUUCAAAAUAUUAAGUUGCUUGUUAUGUGUAUGUCUAAUGAGAAAAGACCAGUCUUUUGACAUUACUUAUUUAUGCAUAUAUUGGCAAAACUAAUUGUUAAGAGUCUCUGUCUUUGUUUAUAACAUAGUAUAUGGAAAUUGUUUGCUUUUAAUGGAAAGAAAUCUCGUCCAAUAAUGCUAAUACUUUGGCUCAAGGAAGAUGAACAAAUAGCAUUAAUAAUAAAAGCAUAUGUAAAAAUGGUUUGAUGAUGCUGAUCUUUCUUCCUGUCUAGAAAUCAUUGAAAUGUGAUUUUAGACAUGGAAGACCAAGACUGACUUUGAAAAAAAAUUUCUUUUUCUCAAUUUGAAGGCUGUAAACUCAAGGAAAUCUUAAACAUAUAUAUGUGGAUUAUGUGAAUAGUUCCUUCACCUGUCACUGAAUACAGAUAACUAAAAGUAACUAUAUACUAAGUCGAUUUAAUUCUGGAUUUUAUUUUUCUUGGUUAGAGCUGUGUAAGGUAUUUGAUUAAAUUUAUUUUAAAUUCAGACUUCUUUUUGGUUGUUAAUAUUUGAGAUUUAUAAUGACAUACUAAAUAUCAGUUCUUUAAGAGGUGUUAUAAAGAUCUCUUAUAAGUUCUGCUGCUAAUAACUUAGAUAAAUCAAGCUUUUCCUUUGUAUGAUGCAUAUUAAAUAUUUUUGUGGUAAGCAUUUGCUCAAUCCUUGUGCUGCACGUUCCAUCAACUAUUGAAUGUUUUUCUUCCUGCUUUCUGUAUUUUUCCAAGGCUAGUAAAUAAACAUAUUGUGCCAUUUGCCACUUUUGCAAAUGUAAUCUUUUCAUUUUUUCUUACCUUUCAUGUGUUUUUUUUUUACCCCCUUGGAAAUGAAAUUAAAAGAGAUUUUCAGGAGUUCCCAUUGUGGCUCAGCGGGUUAAGAACCCGGCUAGUGGAGUUCUGGUUUUGGUGCAGCAGAAACAAGACCUACUAGUAUCCAUGAGGACGCAGGUUUGAUUCCUGGCCUCAUUCAGUGGGUUAAGGAUCUGGUGUUACCUUGAGCUGUGGUGUAGGUCACAGAUAUGACUUGCUUGGAUCCUGCAUUGCUGUGUCUGUGGCGUAGGCCAGCAGCUGCAGCUCUGAUUUGACCCUUAGCCUGGGAACUUCCACAUGCCACAGCAAAAAAAAAAAAAAAAAAAAGAGAUUUUCAAGUAUUAUUAUGUUUAUAUGUUUCUAGUAGGAUGUUAAUUUGGAGUGCAUAGGACAAAGCAGAUCUCUAGAAUAAUGGAAAAAAUAGGAAUAGCUUCAUGGGACAAAAGGAACUUGGGUAGGUACCUACUUCAGUUAGAGUACCUUUUUUUUGUUGAAGAAAAUAUUCUUAAAAACUUGUAGACAGGAGUUCCUGUUGUGGCUCAGCGGUUAACGAACCCAACUAGCAUCCAUGAGGAUGCAGGUUCUAUCCCUGGCCUUUCUCAGUGGGUUAAGGAUCUGGUGUUACCAUGAGUGGUGGCGUAGGCCAGUGGCUGCAGCUCCAAUUCUACCCCUGGCCUGGGACCCUCCAUGUGCCGCAGGUGUGCCCCUAAAAAGACAAAAAACAAAAACAAAAAACUUGUAGACAGUAAUAUUAUGAUCUUGGAAAAAACUGCUUUACAGAUGUAGGACUUAGGGUAGCAAAGUAUGUGAGAAAGGUUAUUCUCAGUGGAAAAAACUUUCUAAUUAAUAUUUUCAUAGGAUCAAAUCAGUUUUUUGCGUCUCCAUCAUUAUACAGAAGUUCAGUUUUUUACAAGAAUUUGUGGCAUAAAUAAAUAUUCUAUGUAUGUGUGAUAUAACCUAACAUAAUCUCAUUGUUUUUCACUAUUAAUAGGAUAUAACCACUUCGUUGAGAGUUUUAAACAGCCAGUUUCUCUUACACUUUAGCAAAGCUUGGACAUACCAGUUCUUGUCACCUUUCUUAUCCAAGAUACUUAUCUGUUACCUGCAUGACCUAAAUCUUUAGCUUGUGCUUAAACUCAUUUUCUUUGUUCUAUCUAUAAAUCUUAGUGUAUCAUUGAUAUCUGAAUGUUAUUCUACCUUCAAUAAAGUUAGCUAUUUAAAAUAAUCAUUUGGCAACUUUUUUUUUUUUACCCUUUUAAUAUCAGAAUUUAUUGAGUUCAAAGAUUUUGGAGUAAAUGAUUAUUUAAAGGGGCAAAGUAAUUACCACCAUACUCUAGAGUCACAGCAAAUGUUGUUAUAUAAUAAAUAUUUAAGUGGAUUUCGACUGUUGACUGGACAUUAGUUUAAGUUAAGCAUCUGCUAGUCAAAAGAGGGCAUCUCAUCUAAUGAUUCUUGAGAUGUCUUUAGGAUAUCUAUUCCUAAAGGAUAAGUGUCUCUUCACAUCACUAAGAUAGUUGAUUAGGCUGAUUAGUGAAUUUCCCUUUUUUUCUUUUUUAAAAAUUUCAGUGUAGAGUUAAGAAUAUUGUAUCUUAAAGGGAAGAAUGAAAGUAACAUUAGUAAGGAAGAAAAAAGUAAUCACUAGCUGAGAUGGUGAAAAAAAAGUGAACAGGUUUUUUAAACCAAUCUUAGUGAUGGAAAUUUACUGGCUCUACAAAAAAAAAUUUGCUGCAAUAGCUAAUUAUAUCAGAUCGUCCAUUGUUGAAUCAGAGGUCUUAGGAUUCCUAUUGCAUGAAUGAAUUUGAAAUAAUGAAAAUUUUCUCUCCAAAAGUAUUAUUGCUGUUAGAGUGAUGAUUUAUCCUGUAUGUGUUAUUAAUAGCCUUAAGAGUACAGUGAGCCAGAAUAGCCCUGUAUAGAAUGCCUAAGGCGUAUGCUUGACUGUGCUUUUAUACCUUGCCUCACAAUACAAUAUGAUGAAAAGGGCAUGAGCUAGUCAGACUUUGAAUUUGACUUUCAGCUGUAUUUCUUCAGACACUUGGCCAAGUCACUUAAUCUUUCUACAGCUCAGUUUCCUCACCUAACUUGCAACUUCCUAGCCUACUGCCUUUUUUUGAAUAGGCAUUUUACCAAUGCUCGUUUUCUAUAGUGAUUUGAAUAAUACUGUAAGGGUUUUAAAAGAUAUCCUUAGUUGAUGUCUGUCAUACUUAAUAUAUAGAGCUUCAUAAUCUCAAAAUAUUUUAAAAGUAGAUCCUUGAAUAUUAAUUGGAGGCCUCGGUUUCAAUAUCAGUUUAAUAGGGAAGAAGGGGAAUUUUUUUUUUUCUUUUUACAGCUGCACCUGUAGCAUUUGGAAGCUCCCAGGCCAGGGGUCAAAUCUGAGCUGCAGCCUAUGCCACAGCCAUAGCAACACUGGUCCUUAACCCACUGAGCCACAAUGGGAACUCCAGGAAGUUUUUUAUUAUUUGUAAGCAACAUGAUUAUAAUCACAGACAAAUAUGGGAAAUAAUAAGAGUUCAGCAAAUGUUCUUGAUCUAAGAUCAGGGAAAUAUUGGUAACACUCCUGUUUUCAGCAAUGUUGAAUUUGAUUAUUGAAUUUCAAAUAAGUUCCUUAUAUAUAGCCACAAAACUUAAGUAGAAAUAAAACUAAUGAGACAUGCAGAACACUUUAAGGAAAAAAUACAAUGGGCUAUAAAGGAUAUAAAAGAAGACAUAAAUGAAGAUGGGCUCUGUUCAUAGAGUGAAAAAAAAAAUCAAUAGUAUCAAAUUAUCAAUUUUCUCUUUAGUCUGUAUUUAAUGUAAUUCCAAGAAAAAUCUCAGGAGGCUUAUGGGGUAACUUGAUAAAGGAAUUCAUGUGGAUGGUGAAGAGAGUAUUUGUUCAGAAGUAGUCAUGAAACCAAACGUUAUUAAACAGAAAAUUGUAUUGGUAGAGGGACAAAUAGGUCAUUGGCUUAAAAUUGAGAUCUUAAGGAGUUCCCUUGUGGCCCAGUGAGGUAAGGGUCCGGUGUUAUCACUGCUGGGACUCAGGUCACUGCUACGGUGCAGGUUCCAUCCCUGGCCUCAAAACUUUGGAGUACUGAGAUCUCAGAAAUAUAAGUGCUCGUGGGCAGUUGGAUUAUAAUAUAUAUGGGUGUUUAAGUAGAGGUAUUUAUCCAAAAAGCAAAUCAACCAAAUGAUUAUUCAGAAAUCUGCUCUCGGGAUAAUGAGUUCCCAUUGUGACUCAGUGGGUUUAAGACCCCGUUCAUAUGCAUGAGGAUGCAGGGAUCGAACCCGCAACAUCAUGGUUCCUAGUCAGAUUCGUUAACCACUGAGCCACAAUGGGAAAUCCCUUCAAGGAUUAAAUUUUUUUUAAAUUCUCUAUUAAAGUAUAUAUAAAAAGAACUACAUAUAUAAUGAGUGUAGCUUGAUGAAAUGUCAUAAACUGGUCACACCUGUAUAACCAACACCCAGAUCAAAAAAACAGCAUUAUCAGCAUCCCAGGAGACCUCUAUAUUCUCCAUUAUGUUUUGAGAAUUCAGUGAGAUAAUAUUUAUAAAGUACUCAGAAAAGUUCCUGCAUUCAUUUAUUACAUCUUCAUCAGUGUUAGCUAUCCAGUAGGCAUUUGGAAAUGGAGCUCAGGAAAGGAAUAAGGGUUAUGUAAAUCUGAAUAUUACCCAUAUGGUGCUGAGCAAUCAUUAUACCUGUGUGUAUGGAUGCAAUGAGAGAAAGUAAACAGCUGGCAUACAUCAAACAUUUAGUAAACACUUUUUGAAUGAAUGAAAAAAAGAAAUAGAGCCAUGUUUACAAAUUUGGGAAUCAUGUGUUUAUGGUAGGGCUGGAGAAAUAAAUACUGGGCCAGGGUUGGAGGUGGUGGACAGAGAGCUGGGAGAAUGCAGUGUCAUAAAAACCAGAAGAGGAUAGAGAGGUAGUCAGUAAUGUUAGGGCUAUAGAGAGGCUGGAUAAAAGAUUAGUAGUUAUCAAAAUCAUUGGUAUAAUUUUUUUUCAUUUUUUAAAGUUUUAUUGAAGUGUAGUUGAUUUACAAGGUUGUAAUAAUUAUUGGUGUAAUUUUAAUUGGUAACCAUUAUACAAAAACUAGAAUCUGAUCACUUGGAGCUGCAGAAAGACAGGCAUAAAAUUGGUUUUGUAGUCCAGUCAAAUUCUUGAGGGUCUUAGGUGUUAAAUGGGCUUAAAGUGUGAGUUCCUGUUGUGGCUCAAUGUGGGAUUGCUCCCUGGCUCUGCUCAAUAGGUUAAGGAUCUCACAUUUCUGUGAGCUGCGGUGUAGGUUGCAGAUGCAGCUCGGAUCCCAUGUUGCUCUUGCUGUGGUGUAGGCUGCCUGCUAUAGCUCCAAUUCAGUUGUAAGCUGGGGAACUUACAUAUGCCAUACCUGUGGCCCUAAAAAAAAUUGAAAAAUAAAUGGGCUUAAAGUAUUGGAAAACACCGUGUUUGAAGAGCAAUUAAAUGAAAAUAGAAUUUUAAAUUUAUUUUUUUAUUUCUGGGAAAAGAUAUAUUGUAUAAAAUGCUUUACUUUGGUGUGGUAGCAUUAAAUGGGCAGAGAACUUUUUUUUAAUCUUUUUAGGUUCACACCCACAGCAUAUGAAGGUUCCCAGGCUAGGGGUCAAAUCAGAGUUUAGCUGCUGGCCUACACCGAAGCAAUCUGGGGUCUGAGAUGCGUCUUUGACCUACACCACAGCUCACGGCAACAGUGGAUCCUUAACCCACUGAGUGAGGCCAGGGAUCGAACCCAAGUCCUCAUGGAUACUGGUCGGGUUCGUUAACUGCUGAGCCAUGACUGGUACUCCAAGAACUUCUUGAAAUGAGAUUUGAAGAAGUCUGCCACUUUUUGAUAGGGGGAAAAAAAACAGUAAGAAUGCAUUUUAAAAAAUAACUGUAGGUGAGGGCAAAGAAUGAUGUUAUUUAUGAAGAUGGUUUUAUUGCUGCUUUCACUCUCCAGCCUCAUCCUUCUCAAAUCAUUUUUUACUGUAAGCAGAAUGGUCACUAUAAAAAUGUAAAUUUAAUCACAACAUUCUUCUGCUGAAAAUCCUUCGUUUGCUAUCCAUUAGUUUCAGGAUGUAUGGUUAUCCUGGCUUUAUAUUUAGAGGAUUUGGGGUUAUUUUACAGGCUUACAAUUCCUUAUUCACAUUUUGGAAAUCCAAAAACUCCUGAAAACACUCCUAAUAAUUUAAAAAAAAAAAAAAAAAGGAAACUAAUAUGAAUUGGAGGUCCAGUCACGGUGCAGUGGGUUAAGAACCCAACUGAAGUGGCUCAGGUUGCUGCAGAGGUGUGGGUUUGAUUCCCAGCCUGCCACAGUGGGUUAAAGGAUCCAGCGUUGCUGCAGCUGCAGCCUAGGUCGCAGCUGUGGCUUGGAUUCAAUCCCUGGCCUGGGAACUUCCAAAUGGGGAACGGCCAUUAAAAAAAAUAGUAAUAAUGUGAAUUGAAGGAAGGCUAUUUUUAGUUCUUUAUUUUCAUCUCCGUGUGACUAUUUAUAUCUUUCCCUGAAGAAAUGUUAGAGACAUAAUGAACAAUGUGUUUUUCUAGAAUAUAGAAAGUCAUAGAGCACUUUGGUGUAAUUGAUUCAUGGUAUCCAUCAGCUUUAAUUGUACCCAAUAGCUUGUUUCUUUUUUGAGUAAUUCUGUUUACAAAUAGAGAAAAGGAUUAAUAUUACAUGAGGUUUUUUUUUUUCUAAGUGGAUUUCCAAAGAAAAUAAUUUGCUUAUUUUUCAAAAUGGAAUAAAAUCCAUUUUAACUUUUUCUUUUUUUUUUUUUUUUUGGUUCAGGUCUGGAGCAUGUGGAUGUUCCUGGGAUCAAACCUGAGCCACUGCAGUGACUAUGCUGGGUCCUUAACCCCCUGCCACAAGGGAACUCCUGGAUUUUUUUUUUUUUUAAUAAGCCUAAGAUUUAAAGUAUGGGAUCUCGUGAUCUUAUUUUUCUGUAACUUGAAACAUUUUGCUAUUUCAUAAUCUGAGGAAUUUUUUCCUUUUUACUCAUCCCUUAUCCCAACAAUGCUAUUAAAAAAAAAAAAAAAAGACAACAGGAAAAACUGUUGGAAUCACUUAGGAUGG